UACGUAGGGGGCAAGCGUUAUCCGGGUUUACUGGGUGUAAAGGGAGCGUAGACGGCAGCGCAAGUCUGGAGUGAAAUGCCGGGGCCCAACCCCGGAACUGCUUUGGAAACUGUGCAGCUCGAGUGCAGGAGAGGUAAGCGGAGUUCCUAGUGUAGCGGUGAAAUGCGUAGAUAUUAGGAGGAACACCAGUGGCGAAGGCGGCUUACUGGACUGUAACUGACGUUGAGGCUCGAAAGCGUGGGGAGCAAACAGG
rnacentral:rRNA from 1 species